rnacentral:misc_RNA from 1 species
GAUGAAGAACGCAGCGAAAUGCGAUAAGUAAUGCGAAUUGCAGAAUUCAGUGAGUCAUCGAAUCUUUGAACGCACAUUGCGCCCUGUGGUAUUCCGCAGGGCAUGCCUGUUCGAGCGUCAUUUCAACCCUCAAGCUCUGCUUGGUGUUGGGCCCUGCCAGCUGCGGCCGGCCCUAAAGACAGUGGCGGUGCCGCCUGGCCCUGAGCGUAGUACAUCUCUCGCUCCAGUGCCCGGUGGUAGCCUGCCAGAACCCCAACUCUCGUGGUUGACCUCGGAUCAGGUAGGGAUACCCGCUGAACUUAAGCAUAUCAUAAGCGGAGGA